rnacentral:rRNA from 1 species
UACGUAGGGGGCAAGCGUUGUCCGGAUUUAUUGGGCGUAAAGAGCGUGUAGGCGGCCUGAAAGGUCAGCUGUGAAAACUCGAGGCUCAACCUCGAGACGUCGGUUGAAACCAUCUGGCUAGAGUCCGGAAGAGGAGUGUGGAAUUCCCGGUGUAGCGGUGAAAUGCGCAGAUAUCGGGAGGAACACCUGUGGCGAAAGCGGCUCACUGGACCAUAACUGACGCUGAUGCACGAAAGCGUGGGGAGCAAACAGG